ACUUGGGGCCUUACUCCUGAGAACCUGAACUCAGACAGGUGUCAGGUGUCCCUCACCAGGCUGGUCUCUCCUGUGCUACAGACCUCAGUACCCACUGCCGACUGGACACCUCUACCUGGAUGUCCCACAGAUACUUCAAACUUGAUCUAACAAAACCAGGCUUGUCACUUCUGAAGUAUCUGUGUUCCUAGUUCUGCUCCUCUAAGGUGUAAUGGCACCAUCAAGCUUCAGAUGGCUCCUAUUAGAAGCCCUGAAAGCUACCCUUGCCUCCUUUCCUUCCCUCACUCCCUUGGAGACCAUCAUUGUCUAAAGCCUGCCAGGUUUCCUCUAAGCUCCCAGAUCUGUCCUCCCAACUCUGAUCCUACCUGCUCCUGCCCUGGCCAGAUGUUCAUUUGUGUCCCUUGAACAAUUUCACUAGUUUUCUAGUCCCCAGUCUUCCCUUUUCUAUGCCCCAUAUGACUGCCAGAAGGUUUUCGUGACACAACCCAAUGAUGUUAUUCUUCCUCUUAAAGCCCAUCAGUGGCUGCCUAUCACUAACAGAUGAGAUCCAAACUCCUUGGCAUGGGGAGCCUAGCCCUUGCCCCACGUGGCACCUUCCUCACAGACCUCACUGAGCCAUCUGGAGUUCCCCAGGUAUGCCACGCUCUCUCCUGCUUUUUGUCUUUGUUCAGGUCUGGGUCUCCUCCUUUCCUCAUUACCUGGCUGGAUAACUCUUGCUUGCCCUCUAAAUCUCUCCUGAAGCUCUGCUCCGUGAAGCCUCCCAGCCACUCUGCACACCAACAUCCCUGUGAGCCCUGGAUGCCUUGGCCACACUCCAGGGUGUCGUCUGUCCAUCACUGUGGAUUGUAAUUGUCUGUGCUUCCCAUUGGACCAGGGGCUCUGUGAGGAGCAAAGGAAAGCACACCACAAGAGCCAGAGGGAGAGAGCUUGGCAGAACUCUGGAGGGAGCCUUUCCAAGACCUGCUUUUAGUGGAAGCUACAAAACCUCCUGGGAGGAGACUGAAUUCCAUGUUGGUGUUGCGCUAUUGCUUUAAAGUGCCACCCUUUGCCUGGGACCAGCAGACAAUUGUACCCAUUAUUUUCUGGUUCUAAGGAAGGAUAAACUUCCUUCUAAGGCUUCAGGGUUGACAGAUGCCUUCUUGGAGGCUGAGAAGUCCAAGGUCGAGGGCCUGCAUCUGGUGAUGGCCUUCUUACUGGUGGGGACUCUGAAGCAUCCUGAGGUUGGAGCAGAAGGAACAGCCAGGGAAAUGCAUCCAUUUAACCUUCCAGACUCUGGGGUCCACCUUCUUUGUUUUAGGUAAAUUUUAGAUGCAGAGGCCAUGAACUCAGCUUAUAAUCAGCCUUAUUGCUCAUUCACUUAUUCCAUAUUCAAGAUAUUUAAUGCUCAUAUUGCUCUGACAACAUGCCAAGGAUCUUCAGCUGACACAUCCCUGCAUACUCUACUGGGUGAUAUCUCUUCUGAUUUGUUUUUGUGACUGUUCUGAUUAGUUGGACUCAUGCUAUACAGGUUGUUCAAUAUUUUGAAUAACAUCCUUGCCUUAUAAAAUUGUAAUGGGAUAAUAGUUUAUAGUCUCAACCAAGA